rnacentral:rRNA from 1 species
CACCAGGCGCGAAAACUUUACAAUGCCGGCAACGGCGAUAAGGGAACCUCGAGUGCCAGGUUACAAAUCUGGCUGUCGUGAUGCCUAAAAAGCAUUGCAUAGCAAGGGCCGGGCAAGACCGGUGCCAGCCGCCGCGGUAACACCGGCGGCUCGAGUGGUAACCGUUAUUAUUGGGUCUAAAGGGUCUGUAGCCGGCCGGGUAAGUCUCUUGGGAAAUCUGGCAGCUUAACUGUCAGGCUUUCAGGAGAUACUGCCUGGCUCGAGGCCGGGAGAGGUGAGAGGUACUUCAGGGGUAGGGGUGAAAUCUUGUAACCCUUGAAGGACCACCAGUGGCGAAGGCGUCUCACCAGAACGGACCUGACGGCAAGGGACGAAAGCUAGGGGCACGAACCGGAUUAGAUACCCGGGUAGUCCUAGCCGUAAACGAUACUCGCUAGGUGUCGGCCACGGUGCGACCGUGGUCGGUGCCGUAGGGAAGCCGUGAAGCGAGCCACCUGGGAAGUACGGCCGCAAGGCUGAAACUUAAAGGAAUUGGCGGGGGAGCAC